rnacentral:rRNA from 1 species
GACUGUACAAAGGUAGCAUAAUCAUUUGUUAUUUAAUUGAUGACUGGUAUGAAAGGUUGAAUGAAAAAUAUACUUUCUUUAUCUUAAUUUAAGAACUUAAUUUUUAAGUUAAAAAGCUUAAGUGUUUUUAUGGGACGAGAAGACCCUAUAGAAUUUUACUUUAUAUAUUAUAUUUAUAUUUUUGUAGAUUAUUUAUUAAUAUAUUAUAUAAUGUUUUGUUGGGGUGAUAGAAAUAAUUUAAUAACUUUUUUUAUUUUUUUCAUUUAUAUAUGUUUUGAUCUUUUAAUAUUGAUUAUAAGACUAAAUUACCUUAGGGAUAACAGCGUUAUUAUUUUGGAGAGUUCAUAUCGAUGAAAAUAGUUUGCGACCUCGAUGUUGGAUUAAAAUUAAUAUUAGAAGCAGUAUUUUAAGUAUUAGGUCUGUUCGACCUUUGAAUUUUUACA